GGGUGCUCCGACUGGCCUUGUUCUAUAAUGGUUUCAUAGGCUAAUCAGAUUCGGUUCCGGCAGGUGAAUGGUUAAAUGGUCAUCUAACAUGUGUCUAUAUAUGGUUUGUUACAAAUUAAAUAUCGAGGUUACUGCUCGCAGAUUAACAAUUUCCUUCGAAAUUAAAAUGUACCCAGAGGAUGGAAAUGGUGUAGAUGGUUUUGUCACAGUAGCAGAAAACAUGCUUCUUAAGUUCAGAGCGCAUAUUUUACCAUUUGGAAUGCACUAUAGUAGUGGAGAAGGGUCCUCCACUACUCACUAUAUUGAUAUACUUGUAUUUAUAACAACUUUAACCAGUUAAGUUUUGUAUUGAUGAAAAACAUAAUUAUACGUUUAUUAGUAAUUUUGUGAAGAGAUCGAUUUAUAUUGACUGACUUUGAGGGUAAUCGACUUCCGUCUAUAAAUAAUCCUUUUGUUUGUUUGUUCGAUGUAAAGUGGAUUCUAUUAAUAAAUCGUGAUUAGUCAUUAGCAAAUACAUGUGGAGUUUGGAAAACCAAAUUGUAGAUAAAGAUAUGGACACUAUAAAAACAGUGUUUAAGUAUUGUUUGAAUGUUUAAAACGUUCAAGAAUAUGGUGUUAUGAUAUUUAAUUUCCAUAUGGGAUAUCCUCUAACUACCAAAGGAACAAAGUUAAGUACUUCAAUGCUGACAGCGUGCCUGGCUCUGGGUAAUAUUACAAAAUAAUGGAUGACAAGGUGACAGAAAUUCGGUCAGGUAUAGACGAAAUACGGCUGACUAGUAAAUUCCUGUUAAAACGACUCAACCGGGUUAUAGAUGAUGGCAACACAGAAUGUACCUGCAAUUGCAAUACAGAACCAAUUGAUAAAAGUAGGUAACUUUGAAAACAAGUUCUGCUAUCAGCAUAUA